GCUACUGCAGUGGACUCUGGCCUGGUCUCUAAGCUUUCUUUCUUGAGGGAUCUGGUCAUACCACUCCCUAUGCAAAACCCUGUUGUAGAGCAAAGUCCAGGCUUGUUGCUUUAUCCUAAAAAGCCCCAUGGCAAGGGCCUCUGCCUGACUCCUUGACUUUGUGGACAAAUGGGUUUAUCUAUGGGGAAAUAAGAAUGCAACAUUCCUGACAUCAUGGAGGCCCAGCCUUCUAUCUAGAGUUAUAUAACAUCUUGGAAGGUUCCAAAGGCAUUAAGUCAAGUCCAGGUUUGUCAGUUUCUCCAAAAGAUGUCAAUGAAAACUGCAUACGUCUUGCAGCUGAAUAUCUAAAGUAUCAAUUGCCUGAAAAAUACUGAUGAGCAAAAUCCACUGGUGGCUACAAAGGUGAUUAUAAAGCAGUAGUGACCUAGUCGUGGGGAGAUAGCACACUGAGUUAAGGAAAGCUUGUGGGUGUUCUGGCCAGACUGACCUAGGUUCAAAUCCUUGCUGUGCCCUGUCCAGGGAAUGUUAGCUGCUGAAGCUCUCUGGGCUUUAUCAGUAACAAGGGGUGAUUUUGCCCUUUGAAGUUUGCUAGAAGAUUUUCUGACAGAGUGUCCUUUUCAGCGAGUGACAGAAAUGCAGUAGGUAGUCUCUUUCUCCUUUCCUAGAGAUGAAAAGAAACAGGAGCUGAUGAGAAGUUCUAGGCCUAUUGUUCUAGAAUACCCAGGCCUAUUGGUGUACUACAAAGAAAGCUUUACUAAGUGUUAGAACAGCUCAGAGGAAACCCUUAGUGCAUAGCUCCUCUCUGUAGGCAGAUCAUCUUCUCUGUAAGCAGAUCUUCCCAUUGAGUGCUCAGCUCUCAAGCAGAGAGGAGGCCCUGGAGAGGGUAGCUCCUCUCUGCUAUUGGUCAUCAUCCUGACAUCUGCUGCUCUCACCAGAAAGGAGGCCCUCGAGAAAGUUACUUCUCUCUGCAGCUGGUAGUCCCUAUGUCUCUGCAGGUCUCUGAAGCUCUCAGAAGAGAGAGUAGUUCCUCACUGCAGCAGGCCAUCUGUCCUCUGUCAUCUGUCCUCUGCCCUGCUCUGGCUGAGCCUGGGGCUUUUUUGGACCUUAGAGGGAAGAAGUCCCUGUUGAUCAGUUCAUGGAGGGCCAUGGGCAGUCCAGAAAAGGCACCACAAGUCCCCACUCCAUUCUGCUGGUCUGGCAGCCUGGCUCCCAGCCUUCAGGCCCUCCUUGGCCUGAAGGUGGGGUCUUACUGGCAACCCACCCACUUCCACCCAGGAGCCUGCCUGCCUUCUGCUGUCCCUGUCCCCCUGGCUGCUGGCACCAAGAGGCACCUGCAGGCCAGCACUGAGCAAUCCUCAGAGCUCCCCUCUGCUUCCCCUCCUACUCUCAUUGGUACCCAAAUUCUGGAGGGGGCUGGGGCAGCAGGGCACUGGCUUGCCAGCACUGAUCCAAGUGUGUGCAGACCAUGCCAAACUGUGAUAGCACCCGGCCUUGGCUCCAACCCUGCUCUGAUAUGGGAGCCUGUGCCCGGAGCAGUGAGAAGCCAGGCAACUGGAGAAGACACCCCUGGGCUUAUGGGUACCGGGGUCGGGGGGCCUUCCCUGGCCCCUAAGGGUGUAGGUUGCAGAGACACCUAGGUCUUGUACCUGGGAAGGUGGCUGCAGCUGCACCCAGGGAGCUCCCACCCUGCCAACUCAGAAGGGGUGGGGUUCCUGCUUGUCCUUGGCUCCUGCCGGCUUGGUGGAGCAGAGGCCCAGGUCUGCACUUGUGGAUCUGGUGGUUGCACCUGCACCAGGGAGGGCAGAGAUCCUCCCUGCUCCUGGCACCUGCAAGAGCACAGGGAGGCUCUGAUCGGCAGCCACAGCUUGAGCAGCUGCAGCCUUACUCAGGAAGGCAGGACUCCUCCCUGCUCCAUGGAGCAGGAGGCCUGGGUCUGCAGCUGCAGCUGCACCCA
rnacentral:lncRNA from 1 species